UCCGACGUAGCUCAGUGGUAGAGCAACCGGCUGUUAACCGGUUGGUCGUAGGUUCGAACCCUACCGUCGGAGCCA
rnacentral:tRNA from 1 species